GACGAACGCUGACGGUGUGCUUUAGACAUGCAAGUCGAACGAGAAAGCCCUUCGGGGUGAGUAGAGUGGCGAACGGGUGAGUAACACGUGGGUAACCUGCCCCUCGCAGAGGGAUAACCGGGGGAAACCCCGACUAAUACCUCGUACGCUUGCCGGGUCGCAUGGCUUGGCAAGGAAAGGUAGCUUCGGCCAUCCGGCGAGGGAUGGGCCCGCGGUCCAUUAGCUAGUUGGUGAGGUAACGGCCCACCAAGGCGACGAUGGAUAGCUGGUCUGAGAGGAUGAUCAGCCACACUGGGACUGAGACACGGCCCAGACUCCUACGGGAGGCAGCAGUCGGGAAUCUUGCGCAAUGGGCGAAAGCCUGACGCAGCAACACCGUGUGGGCGACGAAGGCCUUCGGGUCGUAAAGCCCUGUUGUUGGGGACGAAGGACGAAGGGUUAAUAGCCCCUAGUCUGACGGUACCCUUCGAGGAAGCCCCGGCUAACUACGUGCCAGCCGCCGCAGUAACAC
rnacentral:rRNA from 1 species